AGAGUUUGAUCCUGGCUCAGCCUGAACGCUGGCGGCGUGGCUAAGACAUGCAAGUCGUACGGGUGUAGCAAUACACCAGUGGCGAACGGGUGAGUAAUGUAUCGCUAACGUGCCCUUCGGUUUGGGAUAGCCGUCCGAAAGGACGGGUAAUACCAGUUAAGACCACAAUCCCGCAUGGGAUGGUGCUCAAAGGGAAACCGCCGAAGGAGCGGGCGAUAUCGUAUCAGCUAGUUGGUGAGGUAACGGCUCACCAAGGCGACGACGCGUAGCCGGGCUGAGAGGUCGGCCGGCCACAUUGGGACUGAGACACUGCCCAGACUCCUACGGGGGGCUGCAGUAACGAAUCUUCCGCAAUGCACGCAAGUGUGACGGAGCGACGCCGCGUGGAGGACGAAGUUCUUCGGAAUGUAAACUCCUGUCAGGGGCAGCCAAGUUCUGAGGCGCCCCAGAGGAAGGCACGGCUAACUCUGUGCCAGCAGCCGCGGUAAGACAGAGGUGCCAAGCGUUAGGCGGAAUCACUGGGCUUAAAGCGUGUGUAGGCGGGCGGGCAAGUACCUUGUGAAAUCCCACGGCUCAACCGUGGAACGGCUGGGUAUACUGCCUGUCUUGAGCCAGCUAGGGGCGACCGGAACAGACGGUGGAGCGGUGAAAUGCGUAGAUAUCGUCUGGAACGCCAAAGGUGAAAACAGGUCGCUGGGGCUGAGCUGACGCUGAGACACGAAAGCCAGGGGAGCGAACGGGAUUAGAUACCCCGGUAGUCCUGGCCCUAAACGAUGUCGACUAGAUCGCAGGACCUCUGACGGUUUUGCGGUCGCAGCAAAAGUGCUAAGUCGACCGCCUGGGAAGUACGGUCGCAAGGCUAAAACUCAAAGGAAUUGACGGGGGCUCACACAAGCGGUGGAGCAUGUGGUUCAAUUCGAAGCAACGCGCAGAACCUUACCUGGGCUUGACAUGCCAGGAUUAUCCCCAUGAAAGUGGGGUAGGCCCGCAAGGGGUACAACUGGUACAGU
rnacentral:rRNA from 1 species